AUUGAACGCUGGCGGCAUGCCUUACACAUGCAAGUCGAACGGCAGCACGGGAGCAAUCCUGGUGGCGAGUGGCGAACGGGUGAGUAAUAUAUCGGAACGUGCCCGGUCGUGGGGAUAACGUAGCGAAAGCUACGCUAAUACCGCAUACGAUCUACGGAUGAAAGCGGGGGGAUCGCAAGACCUCGCGCGAUUGGAGCGGCCGAUAUCAGAUUAGGUAGUUGGUGAGGUAAAGGCUCACCAAGCCGACGAUCUGUAGCUGGUCUGAGAGGACGACCAGCCACACUGGGACUGAGACACGGCCCAGACUCCUACGGGAGGCAGCAGUGGGGAAUUUUGGACAAUGGGCGCAAGCCUGAUCCAGCAAUGCCGCGUGCAGGAUGAA
rnacentral:rRNA from 1 species